AGUUCUGACUUCAUGGCUCAGAUUGAACGCUGGCGGGAUGCUUUACACAUGCAAGUCGAACGGCAGCACGGACUUCGGUCUCUGGUGGCGAGUGGCGGAAUUGCAGUAAUGUAUCGGAACGUGCCUAGUAGCGGGGGAUAACUACGCGAAAGCGUAGCUAAUGGCCGCACGCCCUUCGGGGAAAGCGGGGGACCCUCGGGCCUCGCACUAUUAGAGAGUGGCCGAUAUCGGAUUAGCUAGUUGGUGGGGUAACGGUCACCAAGGCGACGAUCCGUAGCUGGUUUUGAGAGGACGACCAGCCACAUCAGGGAUCCGAGACACGGCCCACUCCUACGGAGGCAGCGCAGUGGGGAAUUUUGGAGCAACGAAACCCUGAUCCAGCCAUCCCGCGUGUGCGAUGAAGGCCUUCGGGUUGUAAAGCACUUGGCAGGAAAAGAAAACGGCACGGGAUAAUACCCCGUGUAACUGACGGUACCUGCAGAAUAAGCACCGGCUAACUACUGCAGCCAGCAGCCGCGGUGGCACGUAGGUGCAAGCGUUAAUCGGAAUUACUGGGCGUAAAGCGUGCGCAGGCGGUUCGGAAAGAAAGAUGUGAAAUCCCAGAGCUUAACUUUUGAACUGCAUUUUUAACUACCGAGUUUAGGAGGUCAGAGGGAGGUGGAAUCGCGUGUAGCAGCGGGAAAUGCGUAGAUAUGCGGAGGAACACCGAUGGCGAAGGCAGCCUCCUGGGAUAACACUGACGCUCAUGCACGAAAGCGUGAGGGUUGCACAGGAUUAGAUACCCUGGUAGUCCACGCCCUAAACGAUGUCAACUAGCUUUUGUUGGGGCCUUCGGGCCUUGGUAGCGCAGCUAAUUGCGAAGUUGACCGCCUUGGAGCACGGUCGAUUAAAACUCAAAGGAAUUGACGGGGACCCGCACAAGCGGUGGAUGAUGUGGAUUAAUUCGAUGCAACGCGAAAACCUUACCUACCUGACAUGUCUGGAAUCCCGAAGAGAUUUGGGAGUGCUCGCAAGAGAACCGGAACACAGGGUGCUGCAUGGCUGCGUGCGUCGUCAGCUCGUCGUGAGAUGUUAAGUCCUGCAACGAGCGCAAACCUCUUGUCAUUAGUUGCUACGAAAGGGCACUCUACCGAGACUGCCGGCAGACAAACCGAGUGGUGCUGUGGGGAUGACGUCAAGUCCUCAUGGCCCCGGUGGUAGGGCUUCAGCUUAUCGUCAUACAUGGUCGGGACAGAGUGGUCACAACCCGCGAGGGGAGCCAAUCCCAGAAACCCUGAUCGUAGUCCGGAUCGCAGUCUGCAACUCGACUGCGUGAAGUCGGAAUCGCUAGUAAUCGCGGAUCAGCAUGUCGCGUGAAUAUGGCCCGGGUCUUGUACACAACGCCCGUCACACCAUGGGGAGUGGGUUUUACCAGAAGUAGUUAGCCUAACCGUAAGGAGGGCGAUUACCACGGUAGGAUUCAUGACUGGGGUGAAGUCGUAAAUAAGGUAA
rnacentral:rRNA from 1 species